rnacentral:rRNA from 1 species
ACGGGGGGAGCAAGCGUUGUCCGGAAUCAUUGGGCGUAAAGGGCGUGUAGGCGGUUCGGCAAGUCGAAUGUGAAAUCCCACGGCUCAACCGGGGAACUGCGUCUGAAACUUCAUAACUCGAGUACAGAAGAGGGAAACGGAAUUCCCGGUGUAGAGGUGAAAUUCGUAGAUAUCGGGAGGAACACCAGUGGCGAAGGCGGUUUCCUGGUCUUAUACUGACGCUGAGGCGUGAAAGUGUGGGGAGCAAACAG